AAACAGAUCAUAGAUUGGACGGGUUUAUGGAGAACUGAUUCAGUAACCCGAAUAAUUUUGUGGUGUCAAAAGUGCGAAACUGUGAAUAUGAGCCAUCGGGUGAAGUGUGGUGUACUUAGCAAUCAAAGCUACUAAACUGCACAAGAGCACUAUCCGCAGACUGAGCAUCUAUCUCUGUUCUGCAAAAAAUCUUCAAGGCUUCAAUGUCCACUGCCACUUUUCUCUCUGCUUCCCUUCUGUCAAACACACCCAAUUUUUUUAAUUGCUCAAAUCCAAGUUCAUCAUCAACUGCUGCUAGAAAUGCCAUCUCCGCCUCUUCCAAGCCCCUGUGCCGAAAUCCUCCCAGAAACUUCAAUUCUAGUUAUCCUUCCAAAUCUCUCAGGGUUCCUCCAUGUGAAGCAAAAACCCUUUUAAAAAGCAGCAGCAGCAGCAGCAACAACAACAAUAGUGACAGUCAAUCCCCAAGUUCCAAAGUUUUAUUUCUAUCAGAGACCUUGUCGAGUUCCAAUGGUUUCGUUAAGAUGCCUGCAGCUCCUUGGAUGAAGGGCCCUCUUCUCCUUCCUCCCAGUGAAGUCCUAGACUUCUCCAAAAGCAAGAAGAAGAGUAGUUCCAAAGGCGAAGAUGAUGAAAACUACGAUUCGUGGUUGACUGAGAAAGUUAAAGGAGGAAGAGGGAGGCAAGCAAUGCGUGAUAUAGUUCGAAGCAUUACCAAGCUUAAAGAAACCCGCGAUUCAGAGGUACCCCAUAAUCUACCAGAGGAUGGAGAAUUUGAAUUUCGGGUUUCGCUCGACAAGGUUGGUGGAGAUGGGAAUUCGAAAUUGGGUGGGAAAAUGCCAUGGGCCAGGGGUGAGAAGAUUGUCAUUCCGAGACCGAAGAAGGACAAGGUGGUGACUGCGGCGCAGUUGACUCUUCCUAAAGUGCUUCUCAAAAGAUUGAGGAUUGAAGCAGCGAGAAUGAAGAAAUGGGUGAAGGUUAAGAAAGCAGGGGUUACUCAAGCUGUGGUGGAUGAAAUUAGGUUUAUUUGGAGGAACAAUGAACUUGCAAUGCUUAAGUUCGAUAUACCGUUAUGCCGUAAUAUGGAUAGGGCUCGGGAGAUUGUCGAGACGAAAACUAGAGGCUUGGUUGUUUGGUGUAAGAAAGACACUCUUGUUGUUUAUAGAGGAUGCAAUCAUCAAUCAUCCACCUUGAAAAUCAUUCAUGGGGAGUCAAAAGAUCAGAUGACUACAUCUCAAGUGAAAUCUGUUGGGUUUGCAACAAUUGAUAAUAUGGCUGCGAAGGGCAGAAUACUUGAUUCUCUUUCUAGUGGUUUUUGUGUUGAAGAAAAUGAGGCUAUGCAAUCAGUAAGUGGGACUCUAUAUGAAAGGGAAGCUGACAGACUUCUGGAUGGUUUAGGGCCUCGUUUUAUUGAUUGGUGGAGGCCAAAACCAUUGCCUAUUGAUGCAGACUUGCUUCCAGAAGUGGUUACUGACUUUCAGCCUCCAUUUAGGCUGUCUCCUCCCAAUGAGAGACCAAAGCUCACUGAUGAUGAACUGACAUACUUGAGGAAGCUUGCUCGACCUUUACCCACACAUUUUGUUCUUGGAAGAAAUAAAUAUAUUCAAGGCUUGGCUGCUGCCAUCUUAAAGUUGUGGGAAAAGAGUCUUAUUGUGAAGAUUGCAGUGAAGUGGGGAGUUCCAAAUGUGAACAAUGAAGAAAUGGCAUCGGAGCUCAAGCGUCUUACAGGAGGAGUUCUGAUCUUAAGGAAUAAAUUCUUUAUCAUACUUUAUAGAGGCAAGGACUUCCUUCCUAGCAGAGUAGCAAAUUUGAUUUCGGGCAGAGAAGCAGAACUCAGAAGAUUCCAUCUGCAGGAAGAAGAUGCACGUCAGAAAGCAUUUCAAUCUCUUUAUGUUACUGAUGACGCACUCACAAAUGGUAGCACUGUGGGAACUUUUUCAGAAUUUCAAUAUAUUCAAACAAAGUGUGUGCACCUGGACAGUGGGAAUGGGGAUCUUGAAGUCAAAAUUGAAGCUGAAAAAGAGAAAUUAAAAAAGGAGCUUAGAAAGCAAGAACGCAGGCUUUAUAUACUUAAAUCAAAGAUAGAGAUAUCAGAGAGGCAUUUAGCUAAGCUAAAUUCAGCAUGGAAACCUUCUGAACCAGUUGCAGACAGGGAAAUGAUAACUGAAGAAGAGAGACAAUGCUUCCGGAAGAUAGGCCGGAAAAUGAAUAGAUUCUUGGUACUUGGGAGGCGUGGGGUCUUUGAUGGUGUAAUAGGGGGCCUACAUCAGCACUGGAAGCACAGAGAAAUUGUCAAAGUAGUUACAUUGCAAAGACAGUUUUUUCAGGUUAUGGAUACUGCAAGACUUCUUGAGAUUGAGAGUGAUGGGAUAUUGGUUUCAAUUGAAAAGUUGAGGAAGGGCCAUGCUAUAAUUCUUUACCGUGGGAAAAACUAUAGGCGCCAACUGAAGUUAGAGCCAGAAAAUCUCCUUACAAAAAGAGCAGCAUUAGACCGAUCACUGGAAAUGCAGAGAAUAGGUUCACUGAAGUUUUUUGCAUAUCAGAGACAGCGGACGAUAUCAGAUUUGAAACUUAAACUCAAACAAAAAUGCAGAUGGAUUUACAAAGAAGAGGGGAGGAAAUAGCAUGAAGAAAAUCUAGAAAUCAUGAUUUCUUGAGUAACAUUAUAUGUGUUAUCAUUCCAUCCGUCCUCUUUGUGUUAAUUCCUUCAUCUUAUAUGGAGGGAUGAUGAGAAGAAUUUGCAUAUCUUAUCAAGGCAAUCAUAUUUUGUUUCAAUGAUAUGCUUUGCAAGCGGUUGAACAGACUUCAAGUACAUACAGAUAAAUACGAGGGUGACGAGAAACGACCCAAAGUUUGCAUUCUGUUGGGAAAAUGCAGGUUGAGUUCUUAAUACGUGUGGAGUAUGAGGAAUUGUUGUCAGAGAAGCGAGGACAAUGGGUGCAUCUAGUAGACUAUUCCUGGAAAAAUCCAACUUACUAUUCUAGCCUUAUGGGAAACAUAUGCAAAACAAAAGAUGAAUCAACAUGGAUUUCUAUGAAAAGAGCUAGUGAUUAGCGUUAGGUCGGUAGGGUUAAACAAGCAUGUGGAUUAAGUGGGUUGUUUACUUUUGAGAGUAUACAUCAUUUCAGUGCUAUCUUGCCAACCCUCUCACAAUCUUGGAGGAGGUAUUAGCCCAAUAUCUAAAACUAGGCAGCUUCAUCAACAAUUCUAAAUUCAAAUGUAUUUGUAGCUUCAAUAAUGUUUGUUCUUGUGGCAGUACCAUAAAAACUUUUGACUAUGAUGGGGAAACUUUCUGGAGACAUUGAACGAGAAGAUAGGUAAGGAUUGGGUUGGAUCUACAGGGAAGUAAUACUUCCUUCAAACAUUUCCACAACUUUACCCAUUGGUGUUCGAUUGAAAGGAUCAGUCUGCAUGCUCAUAACCUGACCAAACCCUUCUUUCUCACAAUUUCCUUUUCUAUCCGCAGUGGUUAUAAGCCUUUGCAGUCCUAGAUACUGUUUAAGACGCUUAUAGACCCAAAGUGAAGAAUAUAUUUCACUACCAUGAUCUACUACGACAUCGAUGUUCUCUCUUCCUCCAACAUUUUCGAAACCACGUCACCAAAGAUAUAGAUAUGAUCAUGGUAGGCUCCAAAUUUUUUGACAGAAGAGGAUGGUUCAUAAGUACUAGGAUCACGCUUGCAUAUCUGAAUGGUAAGAUUAAUUGGGCUUAUCUGUUGGAAAGAAAGAUGAGGGAAAAAGGGUUGCAUGGAUAGUGAAAUUCUGAGAUUUUGGACAAGGGGAAACAUGUUAGUAACUGAAAGAUAUACUGAUUUGAUCAGUUGUGAUUGCUAUUCAUGAAGCAUUAUGAAGAGAUACAGCUAGCUUGGCGUAA